rnacentral:rRNA from 1 species
AUUAAAUGAGAGUUUGAUCCUGGCUCAGGACGAACGCUGGCGGCGUGCCUAAUACAUGCAAGUAGAACGCUGAAGA